rnacentral:rRNA from 1 species
AAUGAACGUUGGCGGCAUGGAUUAGGCAUGCAAGUCGAGCGAGAAGGGUUUUGAAGCUUGCUUUGAAACCCGGAAAGCGGCGCAAGGGAGAGUAACGAGUAGUUAUCUACCCCAAGGCCCGGAAUAGCUGCGGGAAACUGCAGGUAAUGCCGGAUAAUAUCCCCGGAUCAAAGGUGUGAUUCCGCCUUGGGAGGAGACUGCUUUGUACUAGCUAGUUGGUAGGGUAAUGGCCUACCAAGGCUACGAUGCAUAGCGGGCGUGAGAGCGUGGCCCGUCUCACUGGGACUGAAACACUGCCCAGACACCUACGGGUGGCUGCAGUCGAGAAUCUUCGGCAAUGGGCGAAAGCCUGACCGAGCGAUGCCGCGUGCGGGAUGAAGGCCCUCGGGUUGUAAACCGCUGUCGUAGAGGAGAAAGGUCUGAUGAAGAAUCAGAUUUGAUCUAUUCUAGGAGGAAGUCCGGGCUAAAUUCGUGCCAGCCGCCGCCGUAA